rnacentral:snRNA from 1 species
AGCACUACGGGCGAUACGAGGAGCGCAUGCCCGGUCCGAUGACGAAGAAACGGUUCAAAAAGCUGAAGGACGUCGGAUUCGACGAAUUCGUAAGAAUGAAACAGAAGGGAAUGGAAAAUGACAAAGCCAAGGAGAGCGGCAACC